UACGUAGGUGGCAAGCGUUAUCCGGAAUUAUUGGGCGUAAAGCGCGCGCAGGCGGUUUCUUAAGUCUGAUGUGAAAGCCCACGGCUCAACCGUGGAGGGUCCAUUGGAAAACUGGGGAACUUGAGUGCAGAAGAGAAAAGCGGAAUUCCACGUGUAGCGGUGAAAUGCGUAGAGAUGUGGAGGAACACCAGUGGCGAAGGCGGCUUUUUGGUCUGUAACUGACGCUGAGGCGCGAAAGCGUGGGGAGCAAACAGG
rnacentral:rRNA from 1 species